rnacentral:rRNA from 1 species
GUAGGUGGCAAGCGUUGUCCGGAAUUAUUGGGCGUGAAGCGCGCGCAGGCGGUCCUUUAAGUCUGAUGUGAAAGCCCACGGCUCAACCGUGGAGGGUCAUUGGAAACUGGGGGACUUGAGUACAGAAGAGGAAAGCGGAAUUCCAAGUGUAGCGGUGAAAUGCGUAGAGAUUUGGAGGAACGCCAGUGGCGAAGGCGGCUUUCUGGUCUGUAACUGACGCUGAGGCGCGAAAGCGUGGGGAGCAAACAGGGAUUAGAUACCCUGGUAGUCCACGCCGUAAACGAUGAGUGCUAAGUGUUAGGGGGUUUCCCGCCCCUUAGUGCUGCAGCUAACGCAUUAAGCACUCCGCCUGGGGAGUACGCCGCAAGGCUG